UACGGAGGAUCCGAGCGUUAUCCGGAUUUAUUGGGUUUAAAGGGUGCGUAGGCGGCGUGCUAAGUCAGGGGUGAAAGACGGUGGCUCAACCAUCGCAGUGCCUUUGAUACUGGUGCGCUUGAAUGCGGAUGAGGUAGGCGGAAUGUGGCAAGUAGCGGUGAAAUGCAUAGAUAUGCCACAGAACACCGAUUGCGAAGGCAGCUUACCAAGGCGCGAUUGACGCUGAUGCACGAAAGCGUGGGGAUCGAACAGG
rnacentral:rRNA from 1 species